GGCGAAGAUGAAGGGUGCUUUAUAUUUUCUGACACCUCUUGUAUGAGAAAAUCUUUUCUCAGAGCAUUUUCGUUGAGCAGAGAUAACAACUCUCUGAGCC